rnacentral:rRNA from 1 species
AUUGAACGCUGGCGGCAGGCCUAACACAUGCAAGUCGAGCGGAGCGGCGGACGGGUGAGUAAUGCCUAGGAAUCUGCCUGGUAGUGGGGGAUAACGUCCGGAAACGGGCGCUAAUACCGCAUACUAUCAGAUGAGCCUAGGUCGGAUUAGCUAGGUGGGGGGGUAAAGGCCUACAAAGGCGACGAUCCGUAACUGGUCUGAGAGGAUGAUCAGUCACACGGGAACUGCGACUGGGUCCAGAUGCCUACGAGAGUCAGCAGUGGGGAAUAUUGGACAAUGGGCGAAAGCCUGAUCCAGCCAUGCCCCGUGUGUGAAGAAGGGCUGCGGAUUGUAAAGCACUUUAAGUUGGGAGGCGUUACCAACAGAAUAAGCACCGGCUAACUUCGUGCCAGCAGCCGCGGUAAUUC